GCUCUUUAUACCAGCUGGUUGGAACUACUUGCAAUAAAGAACAGCAGCAAAACUCUUCAGAGGGAAAUAGAAGUCCAGGAGAAGCAUCAUGAAGUGGUAUCUGACGCUGGUCUCAUCUGAUUUCUAAGAAACUACAGAAAAGCUGAGAGACAAGGCUGCAAGGAAGCAUCAGGCAUGCUCUGAACAAGCAUUUAGUGUGUGGUCCUGGAAAAGUGGAGAGAGAGCUUUUGGGCCAGGUUCUGGCAAAAAGAAGUACAGGACUGUGAGGUUUCGGGCUGUGAGCAAGGAAACGGUCUCCUAUUGUUUAGCUCCUCCCAUGUUCAGGGAAACAGAAAGUUGUACAUUCUCUCUAAAUGAAAAAAAGAUUGCAUUAAAGGUACCUGAACCCAU